GGGCAUAAUGUAAUGAUUUUUCAACACCAAUGCAAUGCAUUUGAGCUAGGUGGAAUACCCUACAAUUUGUAAUUCCACGACUAUGUGGAAUCCACCUUUUAGCUCGACGGCCGAGCCUCCAAUCCAAGUAGCCGCCAGGAUUUGGAGCCAGUGAUACCCCCCAUGUGAGCACACCGCAGGAAUCCCCCUAUGUGAGAUGCCCCAAAUAAUUUUAUUAAUCCUCCCAUGUAGGAUACAAUAUCAUAUAACCCGCAUCGGCAAUUAUGGUUUCCAGCGAUGAGCCCUUUCACUCAAACGCCUUCUUCGGAUAUCCACCUUUUUCAUGAAAAUUAAUGGACUCAAA
rnacentral:lncRNA from 1 species